CAAAGACGGGCAAAGAACCCUGCAGCGGCCCCGGGGCAAAGACGGGCAAAGAACCCUGCAGCGGCCCCGGGGCAAAGACGGGCAAAGAACCCUAUAUUGAUCCCUGUCCAAAGAUUGACGACGAACCCUGCAGCGACCCCGGGGCAAAGUCCGGCAAAGAACCCUGCAGCGACCCCGGGGCAAAGUCCGGCAAAGAACCCUGCAGCGACCCCGGGGAAAAGACGGGUAAAGAACCCUGCAGCGACCCCGGGGCAAAGAAUGAGACUCCACAACCCAGCAAUCCUAUAUACACUCCACUGAUUGAUUUUCUGAGGAGCAAGAACCGACAGGCAGUCGGUCUUAAAGCACUCAUAGAGUGUCAUUGUGAUGGGCUGCCGCUCUUCUACCUGUGCCAGGUGUGUAAGUGUAAAGUCCUGCAGAACUCGAUUAUCUCCCAUGUCACUGGAGACAAUCACCGACAAUUAUCCCUGUGGCCUAUGAAUACUAUUCCCAAACGCCACAGGAGGUUGAGGGCAGCUGCCUUAAAGCUGGAGAAGACCUUGGGAUAUGGAGAAUUUAAGGUAGCAGUGUUGAAUGCGCGAACAUAUCAUUCUAUUUCUACUAAUUCCAUUCCCUUCGACAUGAAGGUAAAGAUGGUCUUGUGUGAUCACUAUUCAAGUGACCCCCGAUAUUUCGUCAUGCCUCUAGCUAAGAAGCCUAAGCCCAAGCUGAAGAAAAACAGUAAUGUCAAAACUCUGGCCCUAGACUGCAAUGACGUGUGUUCUCCCGCAGCACCCGCUGGGAGAUUCCCUGCUCUGUGGCGCUACCUGCAGCAGUCCAACAGACAGCCUGUCAUUGGUGUUGGUAUGUUGACAGAGUUGACCGAACGAGAUGGUGACUACGUCCUGUGUGGAUGCUGUUCUCACAAGAUGUUUCCAUCCUCUGUCACCUCACACGUCAUCUCUUCCAGACACCGCUACUACUACAUAAGAAUGGCACAUCCUGAGCUGGCUGUUAAUUGGCCAGAAAGUCCAGCGCUGAUUGUGUAUAAUGGGCCUCUUCAAAGAGAGCUGAGAGUGCAAGCUAAAGAACUGGAGGGUCAGGAAGGACCUGAACAUCCCCAGGUGGUGAAAGAAACAUCUGCUACAUCGGGAGGUGGACCCACAACCUGCCCAGAAGAGGUUGUCGAACAGAUCCAGAUUCACUCCGCUCCUGUCUCUGUGGAAGAGGAACCGGUUAACUCAGAGCCAUCACAGCCCCUCGGAGAAAAGAAAAAGACGAGGAAUAGGGGCAAUCCUGUGGUUGGAGUGAACUUCCUGGUCCGGGUGUCUCACAGAAAUAGGAAACAAUACUACUGUCAGCUGUGCUCCGUUAGGGUGAAGCAUCCCGUUAUUGAUCACAUGACCAGCCUCCGCCAUCGACACAGCUAUGUGAAAUUGAAGUACCCCAGUUGGACCUCCGACUCAGAGGCAAAGCUGUUCAAGAUGGCUUUUCACCUGGAGAAGGUGGAUCGAAGCGCUGGACUGGGCAUGCAGAAAGUAGAAGUGGAUGCUGUUGAAUUCAAGGAUCUAAGGUCUUGCCCUGUGGAGGAAGCUCUCAGUAAACUGCAGGCCAUUAUCAUACAGCAACAAGAGCCAGGUGAUCUGAAGAUGCAUCCCUCAACCAAUCAGAACCCAGAAGAUCUGAGACAGACUGCUCCCUCAUUGAGACCUGUCAGUGCCCAAGGGCCAUCUAACGGAGACCAGGAACACCUACAAGUACCUGCCUCCUCUCUCCAGGAUCAGCCGUCCUUUGGCUCCACAUCUGUCCCCCUCUCAUCCUCCAGUCCUCCUUGCCUCUCUCCCUCAAACUCCUUCUCUGCCUCUCUCCCCGCAGUGUCCCUAUCUGCCUCAACCUCCCUUUCUUCCUUUGUUCCAUCCUACACUCCCGUUUUGUCCACUGAGAAGACGACUGACCCCUCAUCAGAUGUUGUCUCUGUCCCCGAUCCUGUCUGUGAUCCUGUCUCUGUCCCUUCACCCCUCUCCGCUCUAAAGAACCCAACACAUCUGAAGGACUGCGAGAGUCCAGAGUGGUGGGAGAGGAGGAGCCCAGAAAACAGAGAGACACUAAUGCUUCUGGAACUCCCAGACAAACAGACGGAGUACGCGGCGGGAGACCGGCUGACGGAGUACGCGGCGGGAGACCGGCUGACGGAGUACGCGGCGGGAGACCGGCUGACGGAGUACGCG
ensembl:lncRNA